rnacentral:rRNA from 1 species
GUCUACGGCCAUACCACCCUGAACGCGUCCUGAUCUCGGAAGCUAAGCAGGGUCGGGCCCGGUUAGUACUUGGAUGGGAGACCGCCUGGGAAUACCGGGUGCUGUAGGCU